UACAGAGGUCUCAAGCGUUGUUCGGAUUCAUUGGGCGUAAAGGGUGCGUAGGCGGCGGGGCAAGUCUGGUGUGAAAUCCCGGGGCUCAACCCCGGAACUGCACUGGAUACUGCUCUGCUAGAGCACUGGAGAGGAGACUGGAAUUUACGGUGUAGCGGUGAAAUGCGUAGAUAUCGAGAGGAACACCUGCGGCGAAGGCGGGUUGCUGGGCUGACACUGACGCUGAAGCGCGAAAGCUAGGGGAGCGAACGGG
rnacentral:rRNA from 1 species